rnacentral:rRNA from 1 species
GACGAACGCUGGCGGCGUGCCUAAUACAUGCAAGUAGGACGCAGUUGCGAACGGGUGAGUAACGCGUAGGUAACUGCCUAUUAGAGGGGGAUAACUAUUGGAAACGAUAGCUAAUACCGCAUACUAGUAGAUGGACCUGCGUUGUAUUAGCUAGUAGGUAGGGUAAUGGCCUACCUAGGCGACGAUACAUAGCCGACCUGAGAAGGUGAACGGGCAAACUGGGACUGGGACACGGCCCAGACUCAUACGGGAGGCAGCAGUAGGGAAUCGUCGGCAAUGGGGGGAACGCUUACCGAGCAACGCCGCGGGAGUGAAGAAGGUUUUCGGAGCGUAAAGCUCUGUUGUUAAGGAAGCGGUACUUAACCAGAAAGGGACGGCUAACUACGUGCCAGCAGCCGCGGUAAUUC